rnacentral:rRNA from 1 species
AUUGAACGCUGGCGGCAGGCCUAACACAUGCAAGUCGAGCGGAGCGGCGGACGGGUGAGUAAUGCCUAGGAAUCUGCCUGGUAGCGGGGGAUAACGUCCGGAAACGUGCGCUAAUACCGCAUACUAUCAGAUGAGCCUAGGUCGGAUUAGCUAGUUGGUGGGGUAAAGGCCUACCAAGGCGACGAUCCGUAACUGGUCUGAGAGGAUGAUCAGUCACACUGGAACUGAGACACGGUCCAGACUCCUACGGGGGGCAGAAGUGGGGAAUAUUGGGCAAUGUGCGCAAGACUGACCCAGCAACGCCGCGUGAAGGAAGACGGUCUUCGGAUUGUAAACUUCUUUAGACAGGGACGCGGUACCUGUAGAAUAAGCCACGGCUAACUACGUGCCAGCAGCCGCGGUAAUUC